rnacentral:rRNA from 1 species
AACGUAGGAGACAAACGUUAUCCGGAGUUACUGGGCGUAAAGGGCGUGUAGGUGGUUGCGUAAGUCUGGCGUGAAAUUUUUCGGCUUAACCGGGAAAGGUCGUCGGAUACUGCGUAACUAGAGGACGGUAGAGGCGUGUGGAAUUCCGGGUGUAGUGGUGAAAUGCGUAGAUAUCUGGAGGAACACCGGUGGCGAAGGCGGCAUCCUGGACCGGCAUUGACGCUGAGGAGCGAAAGCCAGGGGAGCAAACGGG